rnacentral:rRNA from 1 species
GCUACGUAUGGACGGGAUAAGUGCUGAAAGCAUCUAAGCAUGAAGCCCCCCUCAAGAUGAGAUUUCCCAUGGCGUAAGCCAGUAAGACCCCUUAGAGAUGAUGAGGUUGAUAGGUCAGAAGUGGAAGCGUGGCGACACGUGGAGCGGACUGAUACUAAUCGGUCGAGGACUUAUCCUA